AUUGAACGCUGGCGGCAGGCCUAACACAUGCAAGUCGAACGAGUGGCGGACGGGUGAGUAAUGUCUGGGAAACUGCAUGAUGGAGGGGGAUAACUACUGGAAACGGUAGCUGAUACCGCAUACUAUCAGAUGUGCCCAGAUGGGAUUAGCUAGUUGGUGGGGUAACGGCUCACCAAGGCGACGAUCCCUAGCCGGUCGGAGAGGAUGACCAGCCACACUGGAACGGAGACACGGUCCAGACUCCUCCGGGAGGAAGCAGUGGGGAUUAUUGCACAAUGGGCGCAAGCCGGAUGCAGCCAUGCCGCGUGUAGGAAGAAGGCCUUCGGGUUGUAAAGUACUUUCAGCGGGGAGGCGUUACCCGCAGAAGAAGCACCGGCUAACUCCGUGCCAGCCGCCGCGGUAAUAC
rnacentral:rRNA from 1 species